GCCAUGGGGACUUUGCGAUCUCCCCACGAGGCGACAAGCCCAAGCAUCGCGUCCCGUUAUUUCUUACGAGGGCGCAGCUAUG
rfam:Afipia sp. GAS231 genome assembly, chromosome: I